CAGUCGCCACGGGAAUACGAAGGGGGCUAGCGUUGCUCGGAAUCACUGGGCGUAAAGGGUGCGUAGGCGGGUCUUUAAGUCAGAGGUGAAAGCCUGGAGCUCAACUCCAGAACUGCCUUUGAUACUGAGGAUCUCGAGUUCGGGAGAGGUGAGUGGAACUGCGAGUGUAGAGGUGAAAUUCGUAGAUAUUCGCAAGAACACCAGUGGCGAAGGCGGCUCACUGGCCCGAUACUGACGCUGAGGCACGAAAGCGUGGGGAGCAAACAGGAUUAGAUACCCCUGUAGUCCCUGUCUCUUAUAC
rnacentral:rRNA from 1 species